ACAUAAAAUCUGAAACGAGGGCUGUCAACGCGCGCGUGCUUUCCAUCUCCACUCGCCAGAACUCGUCGGAUUCGCAUAGCCUUCUCUUCACUAAUUAAUUGCGAGUUCUGUUUCGCUGAAAGAGUCAGCAGAAAUUCGCGGAAGCUGUCCCGACGGUGAUCAGCCAUGUCUAGAACUAACGCGUGUUCGUAUUUCGCGCGCCUAUUCGCGAAUGGGUUAGCCCGUAUGAGAAUUCCCGAAUGGGCUAGCCCAUUCGCGAACGGUCCGGAUUCCUACUUGGGUCGUAUCAACGUCAUCGAAACAAGAUGAGUUGUCUUUCUGUGUUUGGGUAAUCAUUUCAUGUGUUUUGUGCUUUGCUUUGGUGAACACAUACAGUAGCAACCAGGAAGAGACCACGUUGUGAUUGGAGUAAUAUGAACGGAAGCAGCUUGGGUUGCAGACUUCACUUCUGACACUGCAUGUCAAUCUGUGGAACACGCAAGUCUCUACUACUUACAUUAUAUGAUACAGUAUCUGCCUGGCCCUGAGUAACCUUUACGUAACGAUCAACACUGCAUGCGUAUACUGCAUGAUCAUCAUGUAUUUAUUCAUAGAUAUACAUAUAUGGUAGUCCAUAUAUAGCUAGUCUAGAGUUUUUUACUAAAUCUUUUGUACUAAAUAGACAACAGUUGGUCACUGUAUCUUCUACUCAGAUCAAAGUUGGGAUCCCACUAUACAUUUCCAUCAGAUUGUAUUGAUUUGCAAGAAUUUCGUCUAGUUGAUAUGUAUUCGAGUGCCUCCACAGUGAGGUGAAAGAAAAAUUUUUGAUGUCAUUUAGUAAAGUAGACAGCACAUUGAGAGUUCUGAUAGCCACAACAGCAUUUGGGAUGGGUGUUGACAUUCCCAACAUUAGGUGGAUUGUUCAUUGGAGUCCUCCAAGACUCAUUGAAGAUUAUGUCCAAGAGACUGGGCGAGCUGGAAGAGAUGGCUUGACAGCAACUGCACUGCUUGUAUAUGGACAUCUGCACAGGACAGUUUCAUCCUCGAUGAAAAAUGAAGACAGUGCAGGAAAAGGAUGUGGUUGUUGUGA